CCGCGGUAACACGUAGGAGGCGAACGUUAUCCGGAUUUACUGGGCGUAAAGCGCGUGUAGGUGGUUUGGUAAGUAGGGCGUGAAAGCUCCUGGCUCAACUGGGAGAGGCCGUUCUAAACUGCCGAACUAGAGGAUGGUAGAGGGAGGUGGAAUUCCGGGUGUAGCGGUGGAAUGCGCAGAUAUCCGGAGGAACACCAGUGGCGAAAGCGGCCUCCUGGACCAUUCCUGACACUCAGACGCGAAAGCUAGGGUAGCAAACGG
rnacentral:rRNA from 1 species